CAGAUUAUGCCUAGGGCUAAUUAUUAUUUACAUUAAUAAUUUAUUUGUGCGAUUCAAUUUAAUCUGA
rnacentral:tRNA from 1 species